rnacentral:rRNA from 1 species
UACGGGGGGGGUAAGCGUUGUUCGGAAUUACUGGGCGUAAAGGGCUCGUAGGCGGCCAACUAAGUCAUACGUGAAAUCCCUCAGCUUAACUGGGGAACUGCGUGUGAUACUGGAUGGCUUGGAUUUGGGAGAGGGAUGCGGAAUUCCAGGUGUAGCGGUGAAAUGCGUAGAUAUCUGGAGGAACACCGGUGGCGAAGGCGGCAUCCUGGACCAAUAUUGACGCUGAGGCACGAAAGCGUGGGGAGCGAACAGG